rnacentral:rRNA from 1 species
UACAGAGGUCCCAAGCGUUGUUCGGAUUCAUUGGGCGUAAAGGGUGCGUAGGCGGCGCGGUAAGUCGGGUGUGAAAUCUCGGGGCUUAACUCCGAAACUGCAUUCGAUACUGCCGUGCUUGAGGACUGGAGAGGAGACUGGAAUUUACGGUGUAGCGGUGAAAUGCGUAGAUAUCGGAAGGAACACCAGUGGCGAAAGCGGCUUCCUGGUCCAGCACCGACAUUCAGGCACGAAAGCGUGGGGAGCAAACAGG